UCUCCUUUAUCAGAUGGGAACACUGCUUACAUGCUGUAUCUUGAGGUCCUCUGUGCUCCCAGGAGCAGGCCGCGUGGGGGGCAGACACCGUCUCCUCCUGGCUCUGCGGGAGCAGCCUCUGCCCCGGGAGAGGACUGUGCCCCAGGCUCAGAGGGCUGCAGCCCCGCCCGUAUUUCUACCCUCUUGGCCACCACCGGGCCCAGUCUGCUCUGCAGGGUACCCGUGAGUGUGCUGUGCGCAAAUGUGUAUGCGUGCGUGCGUGUGUAUCUGAGGCCUUGCACCCUCAAACCCCUGCUGGGUAGUGACUACGUGGGUCCCCAGCGACAGGCACCACGCAGUGUCAGGGCCUCCUGCUCCUCAGCGGCCCGCAGGCUCACCGGGGACCCCAGGGCUUCCCUGCUGCUGGGCUGCGGUUUGGCGGGGUGUCAGGAAGGUUCGCAGAGCCGGCACCUCGCAACGACCAGGGUGCUGCAAGGUGAAGCCACAUUAGCUUCGCUUUAGAGAAAGUGGGCAGUGCCUUUGCAGAAGCGGGUUGGAAGCUGCAAACUCACAUCAGCUCCUGGGGUAGGCACGCUGCUGCCCGGCCCGCGGGCGCGUUCCUGUGACGCCGUCGCCAAGUGGGAGCGCAAGAUCGUGGAAGGAAGGCUUGAGAGAGGAACACGAAGUGGGAACUGUGGUUGUGCCAGAGAGGGUUUCCUUUUCUCUCCCUUUUUUCGUAAUUUUCAGAAUUGGCCAUGAUGCUAAGAUCUUUUAUAUGAAGGGAAAUGUCUGCAGGGUGAUGAUAACCUGGGUCAUCCAUCAUUUUUAUUUCCGAAGGAUGGACGCGCCUGCUCCACUGGCCCUGGAACUUUCCUCCCCCUCAGCCGUUGGCUCUGGCCUCUCCCGAUGUUUAUUUCAACCUCACGAUUAAAGAAAAAUGUUAAGUGUGCAACAGCUCUUUUCCAAAUGCUGGAAAGAUCUGGAACCAGGCAGCCCCUUGGGAAAAGCUUCGAAAGGGGGAAAAAAACCCACGUUUA